UUUUGCUUCUGUCUCCCAAACUCUGGGAUUACAGACAUGUGUCAUGUUAACCUAGCCUUUUCUCUUUAAAACGUAAUCGGCGCGUCACUGUUAACGCUGCCCACUGCUCUUGAACUCCUGGGCUCGGGCGACGGACCCUCCCCUGCCUCCUGGAACAGCUGGGGUUGCAGGUGCAGGCCGGUUCGCCACGUGGAGGACUCAACUCCUGGUAGUCUUUUGGAAUCCUGCAAAUCUGGCACAACAUACUUGGGGCUGGGAUCUCCAAAGCCUCCCAGGACCCCUGAGCCAGAGGAUUGGAUCGGAACCUGGGAUACGCCCUUAACUAAAGGAGGCGCACCACGGAGAGACUUCCAGUGAGUGGGAAGAGGCAACAGGUGGAAAACACAGGAGGGACAGUUUCGAGGGAAUGAAGACUUCCAUUAGGAAAUAUAUUACAAGAUGGUUCAGGAGGUGAAGUCACCUGCUGCCUGAUGCAAGCAUGACGAAAUGAGGAAAGAAGAAAGGAAGGAGAGGAAGAGGAGGAGGAGGAGGAAGAAGAAGGUGUACUUGCCAAUGGCCACCUAUAAGGGGGAACUGGGAUGACUUGGCAAGUCCAACCAAUGACACUGAUACCCUCAAUUUGUGAGGUGAAGUCUUUCAUUGGGUGAAGGAGAAAGCGUGCAGGUUGGAGGAGAAUAAAGAAUGAGCUUCGUCGUGUCAGAGCUGAGGAAAUCCAUCUUACUCAGUAAAUAAAAGUGCCCAGGACCAAUUAAAACUUGUACUAAUGAAAUGAAAGUAAAACCAACCAUCCCAACAAUGCAAUUCCACAUAGCAAGAGUCAACAGCCAGAGGUAUGUGAGUUACUGGGCUUUGUCGGGGUUGGAGAUCUGCAUUAGUUGGCCGGCCAGCUACAGGUGGUGAAGGACCGGGAGAGAAGGCCGAAGGAAGGAGGCGACUGCAGGGGUAAACCAUAGAACUGAGGCCAGGUGCGAAGCAACCCCAGCGAGCGCAUGGGAUUGCUGGUCCAAGGCAAGCAGUCUCUGGGGAGGAGCUGGAAGUGAGCGGAAGUGGUAAAAGCAAGGAUGUUUCUAUUCACGUCGCUUCAGCCUUGUUACUGUGUAAGUGUGAGAAGGACGGACCAGAUGAUAAACAGUUACAUUCACUGUUCGGUACUUGUUCCCUGAAGGUUUGAUUUCCUCUGGGCCCAUGCGUCGAACACGGACAAAAACCAUCCUCCCCUCGAGGAUCUGUCUUUAGUUGAAGAGUAAGAGGAAUUAUACAACAACAACAACAAAAGUCUCGAGUGAAAAUAAUGAGGAACAGUCGAGGUGUGACCCGGCAGGAUUCAAUGGCGUACUAAGAUCUCGAAGGAUUAAGAAGGGCUUCCGGGCUAGAGCGCUGGCCUAGGUUCCCGUCCGGGAAGCGGCGAUGCGGGUCCGUCACGAUCAGGGUGUCCACUUCCCACUGGAGUCCUUGCAGUGCAAAGAGGGGCGGGUAGACGGCACAAGGGUCACGUGUCUUUAAACACGGACCUUCCUAAGUUCUAGAUGGAUGGAUUUCCGCGAGGGG